rnacentral:rRNA from 1 species
UACGUAGGGGGCGAGCGUUGUCCGGAUUUAUUGGGCGUAAAGAGCUCGUAGGCGGUUCGGCAAGUCAGAUGUAAAAAACUCCAGGCUCAACUUGGAGAGGCCAUCUGAUACUGCCGUGACUAGAGUCCGGUAGAGGAGCACGGAAUUCCUGGUGUAGCGGUGAAAUGCGCAGAUAUCAGGAGGAACACCGAUGGCGAAGGCAGGUCUCUGGGCCACUACUGACGCUGAGAAGCGAAAGCAUGGGGAGCGAACAGG